AGUAUGUGGCCAUGGCCUAUAUAAGUUUGGGAGCAUGUUAUGCUCCCAUAUCAUAGUUUGUUAGACCAACGGCGGUCAUUAUGAAGAACCUUCUUGCUCCCCUUUCUCUUGGUCUUGUGGUAUUUACACUUGUGAUCCAGACUAAUGCAAAAGACAUUCAACUUCGAAAUCAUAAGUGUGACAAUUAUGCGUAUGUCGAUUUCAAUGCCAAGUCCUCAGAUGAAUGUAAACAAGGAUGUUUGAAUUUCAAUGCACAUACAAACCGCAUGAAAAUGAACUAUGCCAGUGCCUUGUUCAAAUCUGGUGGCUAUUUUUGUCAAUGUUUCAUCACAUGCAAUGGCAAAAAGGCCCAAGGCUCUUUUAUCACAUUAAUUGGAAAAGAUGUUUCUACACCUUUCCAUGACUUCCCACACUAGUGCAAAAAUAAGUUAACAUUUUGAGGAAAAUAAACCAAUUGAUAGCA